AGAGUUUGAUCCUGGCUCAGGAUGAACGCUGGCGGCGUGCUUAACACAUGCAAGUCGAACGGGAAACCUUUUAUUGAAGCUUCGGCAGAUUUAGAUUGUUUCUAGUGGCGGACGGGUGAGUAACGCGUGGGUAACCUGCCUUAUACAGGGGGAUAACAGUCAGAAAUGGCUGCUAAUACCGCAUAAGCGCACAGAGCUGCAUGGCUCAGUGUGAAAAACUCCGGUGGUAUAAGAUGGACCCGCGUUGGAUUAGCUGGUUGGCGGGGUAACGGCCCACCAAGGCGACGAUCAGUAGCCGACCUGAGAGGGUGACCGGCCACAUUGGGACUGAGACACGGCCCAGACCCCUACGGGAGGCAGCAGUGGGGAAUAUUGCACAAUGGAGGAAACUCUGAUGCAGCGACGCCGCGUGAGUGAAGAAGUAGUUCGCUAUGUAAAGCUCUAUCAGCAGGGAAGAUAGUGACGGUACCUGACUAAGAAGCUCCGGCUAAAUACGUGCCAGCAGCCGCGGUAAUACGUAUGGAGCAAGCGUUAUCCGGAUUUACUGGGUGUAAAGGGAGUGUAGGUGGCCAGGCAAGUCAGAAGUGAAAGCCCGGGGCUCAACCCCGGGACUGCUUUUGAAACUGCAGGGCUAGAGUGCAGGAGGGGCAAGUGGAAUUCCUAGUGUAGCGGUGAAAUGCGUAGAUAUUAGGAGGAACACCAGUGGCGAAGGCGGCUUGCUGGACUGUAACUGACACUGAGGCUCGAAAGCGUGGGGAGCAAACAGGAUUAGAUACCCUGGUAGUCCACGCCGUAAACGAUGA
rnacentral:rRNA from 1 species